rnacentral:rRNA from 1 species
GGGCCCGCACAAGCGGUGGAGUAUGUGGUUUAAUUCGAUGCAACGCGAAGAACCUUACCAGGGUUUGACAUCCUGCGAAUUUCUGGGAAACCGGAAAGUGCCUUCGGGAGCGCAGUGACAGGUGGUGCAUGGCUGUCGUCAGCUCGUGUCGUGAGAUGUUGGGUUAAGUCCCGCAACGAGCGCAACCCACGUCUUUAGUUGCCAGCAUUUAGUUGGGCACUCUAGAGAGACCGCCGGUGAUAAACCGGAGGAAGGUGUGGAUGACGUCAAGUCAUCAUGCCCCUUACAUCCUGGGCUACACACGUACUACAAUGGUGGGGACAACAGGUUGCCAACCCGCGAGGUGAGCC